rnacentral:rRNA from 1 species
AGCGAACGCUGGCGGCAGGCCUAACACAUGCAAGUCGAACGAACUCUUCGGAGUUAGUGGCGGACGGGUGAGUAACACGUGGGAACGUGCCUUUUGGUUCGGAAUAACUCAGGGAAACUUGUGCUAAUACCGAAUGUGCCCUUCGGGGGAAAGAUUUAUCGCCAUUAGAGCGGCCCGCGUCUGAUUAGCUAGUUGGUGAGGUAACGGCUCACCAAGGCGACAAUCAGUAGCUGGUCUGAGAGGAUGACCAGCCACACUGGGACUGAGACACGGCCCAGACUCCUACGGGAGGCAGCAGUGGGGAAUCUUGCGCAAUGGGCGAAAGCCUGACGCAGCCAUGCAGCGUGAAUGAUGAAGGUCUUAGGAUUGUAAAAUUCUUUCACCGGGGACGAUAAUGACGGUACCCGGAGAAGAAGCCCCGGCUAACUUCGUG